UAGUAAUUACAGUUAUUUUCGACUUGCAGCUGUACUAUUGCGCCAAUAAUAGUUUUGUAUUGUAGAAGUCGCGUUAAGAAGAGCAUCAUGUACUUGAUCAAGCUGGCUCUCCUGCUUCUAUUGUGUUCUUUCUGUUGGGCCUGUGACGAGGGAUUGGAAACAUAUAAAGAGGACGAACAUGCCGGCCAAGAAGGGCAUGUUUGCAUUGAGUGCAGGUCGCAAACAGCAACCAGAUUUGAAUGUGAUCAUGGCCUCGAUUGUAUUGCGAGGAACACAAAUCCUGAUGGAUCUAGGACACGUCUGUGUCUCAACUAUGGUCUCAACAAGUAAAACCAAGCAAGAGAUGUAAACCGUCUAAUAAACAGGUUUUCGGAGAA